GAGAAAGACGAAGACUCAAACGGCGACGUUUACAUUAAACAUAAACCGACUUCUAAACCGAAAUCAAAUGUCUAUUCUCCAGAACCGAUUUCAGACCGAAACCUUCUGAUUCUCAUGGCGACUUUCAACCAAUACUUCAACAAACUCCACCUUGGUUGUAAGACGACCAUGCUGAGCUUAGCUGAACUCCGAUCCUCGAUUUUCCUCUGCUUCUCAGGCAGAGACUCCAAGUAGGUUUAACUGGCUUUUAAACCUACCAACUGGAAGUGUCUUGGUGAAUACAUCUGCAGGGUUUUCACUUGUAUGCACCUUUAG
rnacentral:lncRNA from 1 species